AGAGUCACUCCUACGGGAGGCAGCAGUGGGGAAUCUUGCGCAAUGGUCGAAAGACUGACGCAGCGACGCCGCGUGGGUGAUGAAGGCCUUCGGGUCGUAAAGCCCUGUCGAGGGGGAAGAAUCGGUUGCGACCUAACACGUCGUGAUCCUGACGGUACCCCUAAAGGAAGCACCGGCUAACUCCGUGCCAGCAGCCGCGGUAAUACGUAGGGGGCAAGCGUUGUCCGGAUUUAUUGGGCGUAAAGAGCGUGUAGGCGGCCAGGUAGGUCAGCUGUGAAAACUCGAGGCUCAACCUCGAGACGCCGGUUGAAACCAUCUGGCUAGAGUCCGGAAGAGGAGAGUGGAAUUCCUGGUGUAGCGGUGAAAUGCGCAGAUAUCAGGAAGAACACCCGUGGCUAAGGCGGCUCUCUAGUACGGUACUGACGCUGAGACGCGAAAGCGUGGGGAGCAAACAGGAUUAGAUACCCUGGUAGUCCACGCCGUAAACGAUGUGCGCUGGAUGUUGGGCGGCCUAGCCGUUCAGUGUCGUAGCCAACGCGAUAAGCGCACCGCCUGGGGAGUACGGCCGCAAGGUUAAAACUCAAAGGAAUUGACG
rnacentral:rRNA from 1 species